rnacentral:rRNA from 1 species
UACGUAGGGGACGAGCGUUGUCCGGAAUUACUGGGCGUAAAGGGCGCGCAGGCGGAUAUUUAAGUCAGCUGUUAAAGUCAUGGGCUCAACUCAUGGAUGCGGUUGAAACUGGAUAUCUCGAGUGCUGGAGAGGUAGGCGGAAUUCCCGGUGUAGCGGUGAAAUGCGUAGAUAUCGGGAAGAACACCAGUGGCGAAGGCGGCUUACUGGCCAGCAACUGACGCUGAGGCGCGAAAGCCAGGGGAGCGAACGGGAUUAGAUACCC